rnacentral:rRNA from 1 species
UCAAGCGCGAGAAGGGCGUUUGGUGGAUGCCUUGGCAGUAAGAGGCGAUGAAGGACGUGAUACUCUGCGAUAAGCUUUGGGAAGUCGAGAAUAGACGCUAUACCCAAAGAUCUCCGAAUGGGGCAACCCAACUGAUACUUUGUUAUUGUUACACUUUGUGUAAUCAAUAAUGGGGUAAAACAGUUAUUAAUUACCUGAAUACAUAGGGUUUUUAAAGCAAACCUGGGGAACUGAAACAUCUAAGUACCCAGAGGAAAGGAAAUCAAUAGAUACUCCCGUAGUAGUGGCGAGCGAACCGGGACCAGCCGAGCAAUGAAUGUGACUAGAACCAGUUGGAAAGCUGGGCGAUAUGGGUGACAGCCCCGUAUAGGAAGCAUGAUUUGACGUAUUAAGUAGGGCGGAACACGUGAAAUUCUGUCUGAACAUGGGGGGACCACCCUCUAAGGCUAAGUACUCCUUACUGACCGAUAGCGAACCAGUACCGUGAGGGAAAGGUGAAAAGCACCCCGACGAGGGGAGUGAAACAGUUUCUGAAACCGGACGCCUACAAACAGUUGGAGCUCCUUAUGGGGUGACAGCGUACCUUUUGUAUAAUGGGUCAACGACUUGGUCUUACUAGCAAGCUUAAGCCGAUAGGUGUAGGCGCAGCGAAAGCGAGUCUUAAUAGGGCGAAUGAGUUAGUAGGAUCAGACCCGAAACCGAGUGAUCUAGGCAUGAGCAGGUUGAAGGUAAGGUAACACUUACUGGAGGACCGAACCCACAUCUGUUGAAAAAGAUCGGGAUGACUUGUGCCUAGGGGUGAAAGGCCAAUCAAACUCGGAGAUAGCUGGUUCUCCGCGAAAUCUAUUUAGGUAGAGCGUCGCACGAAUACCUUGGGGGGUAGAGCACUGAAUGGGUAAUGGGGACUCACCGUCUUACUGAUCCUAAUCAAACUCCGAAUACCCAAGAGUAAUAUGCGGCAGACACACUGCGGAUGCUAACGUCCGUAGUGGAGAGGGAAACAACCCUGACCCUCAGCUAAGGCCCCUAAUUCAUGGCUAAGUGGGAAAGCAGGUGGGACGACCAAAACAACCAGGAAGUUGGCUUAGAAGCAGCCAUCUUUUAAAGAUAGCGUAACAGCUCACUGGUCUAAUUUAAGUUAUCCUGCGGCGAAGAUGUACCGGGGCUCAAGCCAUGAGCCGAAGCUAGGGAUGCAAUUUAUUGCAUGGUAGCGGAGCGUUCUGUGAUAUAGAACGCUGCGUCUUUAGUAUCUUAGGAUAUUGUGGACGCAAUGUUCUGACUGUGAAGCCGGCGCGUAAGCGAUCCGGUGGAGUGAUCAGAAGUGAGAAUGUUGACAUGAGUAGCGACAAACAGGGUGAGAGACCCUGUCGCCGAAAGUCCAAGGGUUCCUGCUUAAAGCUAAUCUGAGCAGGGUAAGCCGACCCCUAAGGCGAGGCCGAAAGGCGUAGUCGAUGGGAACCAGUUUAAUAUUACUGGGCCAGGAGAUGGUGACGGAUCGAAAGCGUAGUGACUCCUUAUCGGAUUGAAGUUGCUGCCGGACGGUUCCUGGAAAUAGCCCUCCAUUAGAUCGUACCCUAAACCAACACAGGUGGACUGGUAGAGAAUACCAAGGCGCUUGAGAGAACUACAUUGAAGGAACUCGGCAAAAUGCCUCCGUAAGUUCGCGAGAAGGAGGCCCCAUCAGAAGGCAACUUUUGGUGGGGGGCACAGACCAGGGGGUGGCGACUGUUUACUAAAAACACAGGGCUCUGCGAAGUCGUAAGACGACGUAUAGGGUCUGACGCCUGCCCGGUGCUGGAAGGUUAAGAGGAGGUGUGCAAGCACUGAAUUGAAGCCCCAGUAAACGGCGGCCGUAACUAUAACGGUCCUAAGGUAGCGAAAUUCCUUGUCGGGUAAGUUCCGACCUGCA